rnacentral:rRNA from 1 species
GAUUAACGCUGGCGGCGUCCUAAUACAUGCAAGUCGAACGAACCUUUAUGAAAGAGAAGUCCCAUCCUUUUGGAACCUCUCCAUCGUAAACGGUUAGUGGCGGACGGGUGAGUAACACGUUGGUACCUGCCCUUUAGUGGGGAAUAACUGGCCGAAAGGUCGGCUAAUACCGCAUGUGAUCUACGGAUUAAAGCCUUCGGGCGCUAAAGGAGGGGCCUGCGUCUGAUUAGCUAGUUGGUAAGGUAAUGGCUUACCAAGGCGACGAUCAGUAGCUGGUUCGAGAGGAUGAACAGCCACACUGGGACUGAGAUACGGCCCAGACUCCUACGGGAGGCAGCAGUAAGGAAUCUUCCACAAUGGACGAAAGUCUGAUGGAGCAACGCCGCGUGCAGGAUGAAGGCUUUCGGGUCGUAAACUGCUUUUAUAUGGGAAGAUUAUGACGGUACCAUAUGAAUAAGGACCGGCUAACUACGUGCCAGCAGCCGCGGUAAUACGUAGGGUCCAAGCGUUAUCCGGAAUCACUGGGCGUAAAGCGUGUGUAGGUGGUUUGUUAAGUGAGAUGCGAAAUCUAAGGGCUCAACCCGUAGACUGUAUCUCAUACUGGCAGACUUGAGGAUGGCAGAGGCAAGUGGAAUUAUCGGUGUAGCAGUGAAAUGCGUAGAGAUCGAUAGGAACACCAAUGGCGAAGGCAGCUUGCUGGGCCACACCUGACACUCAGACACGAAAGCGUGGGGAGCGAACAGGAUUAGAUACCCUGGUAGUCCACGCCGUAAACGAUGCAUACUAUUAGUAUGGGGUAUCGACCCCCUGUGCUGAGAAGCUAACGCGAUAAGUAUGCCGCCUGGGGAGUACGAGCGCAAGCUUAAAACUCAAAGGAAUUGACGGGGACCCGCACAAGCGGUGGAUUAUGUGGUUUAAUUCGAAGCUACGCGAAGAACCUUACCAAGGCUUGACAUCCUAGGAAUCCGCUGGAAACAGUGGAGUGCCUUCGGGAACCUAGUGACAGGUGCUGCAUGGCCGUCGUCAGCUCGUGUCGUGAGAUGUUGGGUUAAGUCCCGCAACGAGCGCAACCCUUAUCGUGUGUUGAAUUUUUCACACGAGACUGCCCGGGCCAACCGGGAGGAAGGUGGGGAUGAGGUCAGGUCAGCAUGGCCCUUAUGCCUUGGGCUACACACGUAAUACAAUGGCCGGUACAACGCGUUGCCAACCCGCAAGGGGGAGCUAAUCGCAUCAAAACCGGUCCCAGUUCGGAUUGGAGGCUGCAACUCGCCUCCAUGAAGUCGGAAUCGCUAGUAAACGUGGGUCAGCAUACCACGUUGAAUACGUUCCCGGGUCU